CUACGGGAUGCAGCAGUGAGGAAUUUUGCGCAAUGGGGGAAACCCUGACGCAGCAACGCCGCGUGAGUGAAGAAGGCCCUUGGGUCGUAAAGCUCUGUCAAUGGGGAAGAAGUUAUUAUGUGUUAAUAGCACAUUUUAUUGACGGUACCCAUGAAGGAAGCACCGGCUAACUCCGUGCCAGCAGCCGCGGUAAUACGGGGGGUGCAAGCGUUAUUCGGAAUUAUUGGGCGUAAAGGGCACGCAGGCGGUCCUGUCAGUCAGAUGUGAAAGCCCGGGGCUCAACCCCGGACGUGCAUUUGAAACAGCAGGACUUGAGUACGGGAGAGGAAAGGGGAAUUCCUGGUGUAGAGGUGAAAUUCGUAGAUAUCAGGAGGAACACCGGUGGCGAAGGCGCCUUUCUGGACCGAUACUGACGCUGAGGUGCGAAGGCGUGGGUAGCGAACGGGAUUAGAUACCGAGUAGUC
rnacentral:rRNA from 1 species